AAGGGCGACUGAACGGGAAGAGCCCAGCGCAGAAGCUCGUGUCCCCAACCGGCCACGAGCGGUGUUGCGUUCCGGAGGGUCCAGCACGCCGUCCCAUACCGCCUAAGUCAAGCUUGAACGCGGCCACUACCCAUGGAGGGUGACAGGCCCGUAUGGCGGCGCCCGCGAGGGUACAGAUGGGGCGGUCGGAAAGGGCCUCUCUCCGUAGAGUCGGGUUGCUUGAAAAUGCAGCCCAAAGUAGGUGGUAAACUCCAUCUAAGGCUAAAUAUGACCACGAGACCGAUAGCGAACAAGUACCGUGAGGGAAAGUUGAAAAGAACUUUGAAGAGAGAGUUCAAGAGUACGUGAAACCGUCAAGAGCCAAACGGGUGGAGGCUCGAAGGUCGAAGUGAGGGGAUUCAGCUCGUCGGCAGGUUUUGUCUGGCUGGUGGGAGAUGUCACGGCACGACCCUAUUCCUGGGCGUCCCUCCUACCAAGCCAGCGUCGGCGGGCGUACUUCGCCUCGUAGUAGGUCGCCGCGACCCGUUGCUGAUGCUGGGGACGUCCAAGGCCCGAACGGAUUGGUACCCCGCCGCUUGGCUCUUUUAUGGGCCCGGCGACUGGGGGAAACCCUCGGUGUCCUGGCUGCCCCGCGACGGUCGUUGAGAUGAGCCCCCUGGACUAUUCUAGCCUAGGGGUCUCUCGCGGCGUGCGAAAACGUCGGCGCUCCACCCGUCCCGUCUUGUGAAGUGAGACGGCCAGGGAGGACGCUGACUUAGGCUCCAUAGGCCUAAGGAGGCUAAUCACUGGCCAGGGCCGAUCCCCGACUGGCUGCCUCCGGCUUUCCGUCUCUCGUCGCGGCACGCGGAGUGAGUCCCUUUCCUCCGCCUCUGCCGCGUCGGGGUUAUUAGGGCGGGGUCGGCGGGCGAAGGUCUUUUUAUUCUGUGGAAACCUGCUCGACAGGGGGGCGCAGGCCCGGGACUUGCCAGGGACGCCACCCGUCCCCCAAGGUGCGUCUUUUUAGGCGCGCCGGCCGGGGUCGAGUGCGCAGUCGGCAAGUACCAGGAGCAGGCAUGUUGGGACCCGAAAGAUGGUGAACUAUGCCUGGCCAGGAUGAAGCCAGAGGAAACUCUGGUGGAGGUCCGUAGCGAUUCUGACGUGCAAAUCGAUCGUCAGAGCUGGGUAUAGGGGCGAAAGACUAAUCGAACCAUCUAGUAGCUGGUUCCCUCCGAAGUUUCCCUCAGGAUAGCUGGAACUCAUCACCAGAUGAAUUUCAUCCGGUAAAGCGAAUGAUUAGAGGUCUUGGGGACGAAACGUCCUCAACCUAUUCUCAAACUUUAAAUGGGUGAGAUGCCGAGCUUGCUUAAAAGAUGAAGCUCGGCGACGAUGGCGCUGUGGGAUGAACCAAACGUCGAGUUAAGGGGCCUAAACGAAUGCUCAUUCAGAUCCCAUCGAAAGGUGUUGGUUGCUAUAGACAGCAGGACGGUGGCCAUGGAAGUUGGAAUCCGCUAAGGAGUGUGUAACAACUCACCUGCCGAAGCAACUAGCCCUUAAAAUGGUAUGGCGCUGAAGCAUUCUCCCGAUACUCGACCGCCGGGGCACUACCGACCGAACGGCUAACAACAAACACCGUUCAGGUCUCGAAGCCCCGGCGAGUAGGAGGGUCGCGGUGGUGUGCGCUGAAGGGUUCGGCGUGAGCCGGCCUGGAGCCUCCACCGGUGCAGAUCUUGGUGGUAGUAGCAAAUAAUCGAGAGAGACUCCCUUGAAGGCCGAAGUGGAGAAGGGUUCCAUGUGAACAUCAGUUGGACAUGGGUUAGUCGCUCCUAAGCCCAAGGCGCAAAACUGAUCCCC
rnacentral:rRNA from 1 species